UACUAUGGUGGGCUGGGUGAGGCAGCCAUUUGGCUGGCCGCUUCCUUGAUGCGGUAGUUCGAACCUUGCUCAGCUCAUCACCCAA
rnacentral:antisense_RNA from 21 species